rnacentral:lncRNA from 1 species
CAGUGACCUGUGUGAGAGGCACUGCUCCAACUCAACAACCCUCCUGCAAGGGAGCAAGCCAGCAGUCAUCCUUCUACCCAGUACAGGGGAAAUUUCUUUUUCCUGUACUAGGCUUAGGGAAUAGCACUUUGGGGGGCUAACCCCUGGUGCUGCCCUAACCUCUUCCUCACAAAACCUUUCAUACAGCUGUGAGAGGCAAACUUCUCAGUUGUCAGCAUUUCCAGGAAGAAAGAACCCCUUGAGUGAUCUCCAUGUGACCUCGUCUGUCUCAGGUUCAUGAACAUGAAGGUGAGAGCAGCUCUUCCUCACAGCAUGACCAGGCAGUGACAAACACGCCACAUGGAAGGAAAUGAGUGAACAAUCCUCGCAUAUUCUGAAAUGAGGAGAUUGAGGUGCAAAGAGAGGCUAAGUUGCCCAAGGUUGCAUGUCUAAAAAGUAUCAGAGGAUGAGAAUACAGAUCUGACCAGGAUUCUAAAGCCCACGUCAUUCCCUCCACACCUGGUAGCUUCAGCCUUGCCCAGCUCCUGGUGGAACUUCCGCUCCGGGAUCCUGAAAUGCCCUGCAUGAAUCAUCAAGGGACAAAAAGAGGAGACUUUCCAGGGACUGACGCCCUCCCAGCCACCGUGGGAUCCCGGCUACUGUGACUGAGCCCAGUCAUGACUCCAGAGUGCUUCACAUCACAUCAUUCUUUCUCAGCAUCCAAAAUGUGAGUCCUCUGGGCAUGAAUUCUCUCCUCCACUCCACUCUCCAUGGCUCUCCUGGUCCCUUCCUCUUUCUUCUCCCUACCCCUUUCUUUUCCAAACCUCUCAUCCAUUCUUCUCUAUAGUCCCCUUCUCCAUACUUGGAGGCCUAUGCCUUCUUAAUAUCAACCUUCUCCAACUUUCCUGAUCAUUAAAGUCACCUGAUCAUCAGAAUCAUGCACAUCCCCUGGCUCCUGUCCCAGAGGUCUGAAUUGGAGAGAUCCAAGUGAGACCUGGCAGCCAAUGUUUAACAAGAGCCCAUGUGUCCUUAUGAUCAAACACAUUUGGGAGACCCCAAACCACACUCCUCCUGUUGUAAUCCACCAAACACUGUUCCUAAUUCACCCUGGAAAUGGCUGGGGUCCUCAAAGCCACCCACUCCUGUCCUGUGACAGCACCUCCAAUGCUCCAGCCUCAAAGUAAAAUGACCUCCCAACUCUGAUCACCUUCACCUGUGCUCCACCUCAGCCUACACUCUGGCCCACCUGGGCCUUGUUAUUCCCUGGGACUGCUCCUCCCCUGACAUCGUCAGGCCAAUAGCCUCUUUCUGCCCACAUUCCCCUCGCCCUCCCACAUUCCUGUUCCCUGGCACCUGGCCCUUGAGCAUAAUCCUGUCAUGCAUCGACAUCAUUCUGGUCUAUCAGGCCCCUCCUGGGCUUCCUUCUUCCUUCCCUGCCCACCCAUGGUUAAUCACAUGAGCCAGUUUGUUGUCAGUCUGGACCCAUAUCCUUCUGUUGUACUUACUCAGGAACGCUCAGAUUAAUUCAUUCCAUCUUCUCUGAAAUCUUCAGAGAAACCCCACAACCCUGCAGGCCCACCCCAUCACAAAUCUAGGGUAAGCUCAACUUCAUCUAGAAUUAGAGCCCAUGAGGCCAUCAGGCUCCAACUCCCACUCCUUUUCCCCCUACAAUGGAACUGACAUCACUGUCAACCUCUCCACCUGUCUCUUCACUGUCUCACUCCUGUGGUUCAGUAGAAACCCACCCAGUAUGUUCUUGCUGCCAUCCAUCCCAUUCCCAUCCCACUCUAUCAUCACCCUCUUUCUCUCCCUCUCACAGUGAAGCAGCAGGACCACCCAGGUACAGCGCACCUCGAGCUCUGCCCCUCAAAGGGAGUGGCCUCUCCUGGCUAUUGGCAAAGCUACCAGAAACUUGGCUUCAGACCAUUCACAUCUAAACAGGUGGUCCAGAUAUUCUGGCAGGGAUGUGCAUGUGAGUUUAAAAGGGGGAGAGAUGGAAUCAUAAAAUGCCAUGUUUUCAGACUACCCUAAACCCUAAGGGCUUAGGCUGUUCCUAUUUGUGUAACCCAGUUGUGAGGGGAUAGUCUGCCCACCUCAGGCAUCCUGAGAUGCCAGAGCAGGCACCCAGGACGCUGUUUAUAAGACAGCCUACAUGCCCUGCUGGGAGGAAAGUGAAGAGGCCGAUGAAGGAACUGAACCUCAGAGAGAAGAGAUAACCCUGGUCGGCCAGUAAACUGUAGAGAUCCAAUUUGAAUUCUCCCCUCUGUCUGGCUCCGACACAUGGGGUUUUCUUAACUCACACUGUGUCACCUGCAGAGUGUUUCCCUUCGGGGGAGAGAAACCCAAAAUAGUGAAAACGAACAGAAAAAGUUUGAAGAGUUCUGCUUCGGCACUUGAAGCCAAUCUCCCUACAGUCUUCUUCCUGUUCAUGCUUCCAAGAUGCUAUCAGGGAGGCUGGGCGCUGGGGACAUUUACACUCCUUGCCUCCCCAACCCCAACCUCGAGGAUUUCUGUAGGGGUGAAAUCACCUCAUUAAAGCUGUACCUUGUUGCGGGGGCGGGGGUGGAUGGGCAGAAGAACUCAUGAGGUGAUCAUAUACCGGCCUCAGUGAUUCUCUCCUCCUCCCGGCCCCAUGUCUUGUUUUUAAACUCCAGCAAGGAAGAAUCUUCUUUCCCUCCAGCCAGCCUUUCAACCCACUGCUCAAACAAAGCAUUUUCUCUCAGAGGAUGAUUGCCAAGACCCACAGUUUAGUUCAUGUGGGAGUGGAGAGGGGCCAUAAAUAAUAAUAGCCAAGUUUACUGAGUGCUUAUUAUGUAAUAGCCAAGCACUGUUCCAGAGACAUUACAUAUAGACCCAUUUCACACACACAGGUGCACACACACACACACACAUACACACAGUACAAAUGAGGAAACAGACCCAGAGAGGUUGCCCGCCAUUUGCCAGCUCUUAUGAAGGGACUUGGACAGCCUGGCUCCCAGAUGCUGCCCUGCCUCUCAAAGAUCAUCUCCCCUGGCUACCCCACCCCAUUUUACAGGUAAGGCAAUGAGCCCAGGGAGGUGAGGGACUUGCCUGGCCAGUCAAGGGCAGAGCUAGUCAAGUUGUCAGAUCUUCUGACCAAAAAACCCAAGGCUUUUUCCUCCACCCUGGGGGCUCAGCACACCCAAGACUCCAGGAGUAUGCCAAUUGCACUUCACCCAGUUCAAAGUUUAGAUCCCCCCUAAUGCUUUAAACUAGAAAAUUCUUUUUUUUUCUUUUGAGACAGGGUCUAGCCUUGUUGCCCACGUUGGAGUGCAGUGGUGUAAUCUUGGCUCACUGCAGCCUCCUCCUCCUGAGCUCAAGCCAUCCUCCCACCUCAGCCUCCUGAGUAGCUGGGACCACAGGGGCACACCCCUACACCUGGCUAAUUUUUAUAAUUUUGUAGAGAUAGUCUCAAACUCCUGAGCUCAAGAGAUCUGCCUGCCUCAGCCUUUCAAAGUGCUAGGAUUACAGGCAUGAGCCACUGCGCCUGGCCUAGGAAAUCCUUAAAUGCCUAUUUAUUUGGACAUGCCACUGGCAGACAUCUGCACUGUACCUGAGCAUCCCCGAUGGGCUCAUAGAAUGCUAACUAUAGCUUCCACCUAUAGGUUAAACAGAGAUUCUGCCCCUCUCCCCUCCUUGGCAGAUGGAUACAAACAGAAGCCAGGAGGAACAGCAGCACCUCACACAUCUAGUAGCACUCCGGCAACGACUCUGAAUACUCCCUGCAAGGCCGGCAAAUAUUUUGAUAAUCUUUCCCCUACAGGAUUCUCCUGUGGAGAACAAAUGGACACAGUCGGGAGCUGUCUUUCAGCGGAAUUCCACAGGAAGAAACAUUUCAUCAGUGGAGAGGGUUUUGACUCAGGCCUUUUGGGGAGGGAAGCAGAUUGCUCUGAGCUACUGCGGAGGGUAGGCUCUGCCCACAGGCGUCUGCCGUCCCCUCAGGACCUAGCGCAGGGCAGGCAUGUGGGCACCCUCAGCGGACCUCACCAGGUGGGAGGCAGAUGGUGUGCUGUUAAAAGCACAGCCUUCGGGGCAGCCAAACCUGGGUUUUGAGCAGUGGCUCUGCUGCUUGAAGCUGUGUGACCUUGGGCAAAUUCCUUCACCUCUCUGCUCCUGUUUCCCCACUGUAAAAUGGGCGUAAUGAGAAUAUUUGCCUCUUGGACUGGCCCUUGAGAAUUAGACCCAAUGAUGUCAAAGGAGCAUGGAGCACAGGGCCUGCCACACGCAGGCACUGAAUAACCACAGCGGUCAUCGUGAGGUCCCCACUUGCCUUGAAGGGAGCUGUGUGGCUGAGUUCUCCGCUGUCACUGGUUCCCUUAUUGAGCUUGCCUUAGGGGGCCCAAGGCCUCCUUCCAACCCAAAACGUGCCUUCGAGAGGGGCAGAGACCGGCCACCCCACGUGUCUUCCAUUGGAAUGGAAGUCAGGGUUCACCAGGCUGGGGGAGGGCAUUGAUGCCCUCAUGUGCAUCGGUCUGUUGGGCCCUGAGAAAAGCCCUAAAGAUGCCUGGCAGGGGACAUCUCUUCACAAUGACAUAUUAUUAUUUUGAAAAAGAUGAAGCCGAAUUAGCAAGCAUUUAUAAAAAGUGGAAACAAAAUGAAGCCACUGGGACAAAAGAGACACUGCACAGACCAACCACCGUGUGUGAUGAGGGGCUGGGCAGGCCCACAGGGGCCUGUUUUAUGUGGUGGCCCUCUUUGUCCCCACUCUGCCUGCUUCCCAGGCCUGCCCCUGGGCCUCUCUCCAAGGAUGAUUCUGUCUCCAUUUUUGGUAUCUACAGGCCUUGUGGGACUGGGAGGACUGAACUGGGCCCAGCAUUCUCCAGGUGACUCACCAGGCAGGCCAUGCAGAAAAGCCACUUCCUGCAUCCCUGAGUGGCCAGUCAUCCUCCUGGUACCUGCCUUAAGAACAUGUGAGCCACCCUCAGGGGCAGGGUGGGACUGGGCUGUGCUCCAGGCAUGGGCACCACAUAGAGAAGGGCUGAGUGAGUGUAGUGGAAGAACCCAGGCCAUCCAGGAGCCUGUGGCUUGGGGUGGGGUUGGGGGUGGACACAGUGUUCCUGGUGCUUUCUCCACAAAAGAAACCUCACCUUCCUAAAGCUAUCGAUCCACCCACUGGCGCUGUGGCAAUGAAAUUCUCACGGGGGAAAGUCUCAGGGCCAGCAUACCUACCCCUGCACACUUCAUGCCCCCAAGCACAGCACGCCAUUGCAGCAGGCCCCUUCCUGAAGCUGCGCCCCCAUGAAUACGCCCUGUACCCAUUCUGAGAAUCAGGUCUGAUAUUAUGGGAAGAAAAUGUGUGCCUAGGCAUGGCGGGGAGGGGCAAGUUAGGCAGGUCAGGAGGGAGAGUUUUGACAAGAAAUCCAAGCACAUGGGCCACAGAGGAGUCUUAAAAACAACCUCAGCCCAACUGUCUCCUGACUGUUCCCCCAACUUAUCAGCUCAGGCCCAGGUCAGAGGAGGUCCAGGCUGGCCUGGCACAGCAAGUUGAGCCUGGUUCCCAGACCCUGCAGCUGGUUUUGAGCAAUGGAAGUGGCAGUGAGUCUGUGCUCAUGGAGUUCCUGGGCUCAGGCCCAGGUGGGGGUGGGGAUGGGGGUUGGGGGGAUGUCCCCUGUCUUCGAUUUGACUCUGCUGCUCCAGUCACAGAGCUCUCUCAGAGGCAGACAUGAAGCCAAAGCACUUCAUUAAGACAGGAGGUCAGAUAACAGCCCCAGCCCUCUUUGGAAACCGCACACCGCCCAGUGGCAUGGAACAGGCCAGGUCCCAGCCCUCCCAGGAGUGCCAGGCAUUGUAUUUCAGAACUGAGCUUCAGCUACUCCCACAGGAAGGAGACGACUUGCUCCUACCUUGUUUUUAAUUUCCAGAAUACUGCAAUCCCCUUAGGAAAACUCAUGUUUUCAUGAUAGAAUGGCAGCUGCCCACGCAUGUCAGAGGCUUCAGACCUGAUCCUGAUCCUGAUCAAGCCUGGAACAGUGAUCUCUGGGCAGCAGAUGAACAGCCCAGGGACCAGCAAAGAGAGCCUGCCCUCUGUGGUCCAAGGCUGGCCACCGCGGCCUGUGCUAGGCAGAAGAGCUCACAGGUGUGUCCUGCUUUACUUAACUCAAAGACAGCUGCUCAGAAGUUGCCUGGAAUUGGAACUGUGAUCAGGCCAGGCCCUCCUUAGGUUUCCAGAGGGACUGCUUAUCAUAUAUACUACCUGUGUGGUGAGGGGUCUCACUUGAAGACAUAAAAAAUGCACUCCAAACAGGAAAACAACUUUUAAAAAUUAUUGACAUUUAACGAUCAGCUGUGUGUGUAUUAGGGAUUUUUAAAAAGUGAAACACAGCCAGGCACAGUGGCUCACACCUGUAAUCCCAGUACUUUGGGAGGCUGAAGCAGAAGGAUGCUUGAAGCAGGAGUUCAAGACCAGCCUGGGAAACAAAGCAAGACUCUGUCUCUAUUUAAAAAAUUAGCAGGUGUCGUGGUACACUCCUGUAGUCCUACCUACUCGGGAGGCUAAGGCCAGCGGAUUGCUUGAGCCUAGGAGUUUGAGGCUGCAGCAAGCUAUAAUCUUGCCACCACACUCCAGCCUGUGACAGAGCAAAACCCUGUCUCUUA